rnacentral:rRNA from 1 species
AGGGAUUCCCCCAGUAGUGGCGAAUGAAGCGGGAAAAGCUCAAGUUUGAAAUCUGGCAGGCGACUGUCCAGAGUUGUAAGCUGGAGAGGCGAUGUCCGACGCGGUCCAGGCUCAAUUUCCUUGGAACAGGAGGUCAUGGAGGGUGAGAACCCCGUACAUGGCUUGGGUGCCGCUGUCCUUGUGACGCGUCCUCUAAGAGUCGGGUUGUUUGGGAAUGCAGCUCAAAAUGGGUGGUAAAUUUCAUCUAAAGCUAAAUAUUGGCGAGAGACCGAUAGCAAACAAGUAGAGUGAUCGAAAGAUGAAAAGUACUUUGAAAAGAGAGUGAAACAGUACGUGAAAUUGUUGAAAGGGAAGCGUUUGGCAUCAG